AAAGUCGUAACAAGGUUUCCGUAGGUGAACCUGCGGAAGGAUCAUUCACAAUUAAAAGUGUUCUAUGGCACUUUUUAAAAAAAAUCCAUACCCACCUUGUGUGCAUCGUUUUUUUAUUCCUUCUCGAAGGAAUAUAUUUUAACAUCUCAUCUUUAAGAAAACCAUUUGUCUGAUCUUAGUUGCGAAUUAAAAUUCUUAAUUCUAUAUACAACUUUCAACAACGGAUCUCUUGGCUCUC
rnacentral:misc_RNA from 1 species